GGCACUCUAGCCUGGGCAACAGAGUGAGACUCUGUCAAAAAAAAAAUAAAAAUAAAAAAAAUAAUAAAGUAAAAGAGCAGACUUCAGUGGACUGGUGAUAAUAAUGUACCAUGAAUUGAAGAUUAUGAUUAACUCAACCCUGAAGUCCACAACAAAUAAACCAAAAUAACAGACGUGAGGAUGUUUAGAGUGCUCCUUUGCAGUGGCAUGUGAUAAUAGGGCAAGAUCCAAGGGUAGGAGCAGUGGGGAUAGCAGUACCAGGAGCAGCCUUCUAACAAGGCUUUUCCUAUGGUGGAACCUUAGCUGUGGUUCCUCCUGCCUUGGGCUUUCUAGUUACUGCCCCAUUUUCUCAGCCUGAUUCUCCAGACUUCUGUGAACUACCCAAUAACUUCACAAUAAAUCCCUUUUCUGCUUAACUAGAGUCCACUUCUGUUACUUGCAUCCAAGAAUCCUGACUGAUACAUCAUGCAUUUUGUUGGAGAACACCCUGAAGUAACUUCUUGAGAAAGUCAUGCUGUCUGGAGCUGUGACAACCAUCUUAUGACCAUGAGGGAAUGAACACAAGGAUGAAGACAACAUAUUAAGGAAGAAAGAAAGAGCCCAAUUCCUCUAUGGCAUCAUUGAGCAGCAGAACCCAUGCCACACUCCCUGUUAAUUGAAAAACAAAUAAAGCCAUAUGUGUUUAA